rnacentral:rRNA from 1 species
UACAGAGGUCUCAAGCGUUGUCCGGAGUUACUGGGCGUAAAGGGCAUGCAGGCGGUCGGACGCGUUUCGGGUGACAGCGGGUGGCUUAACUACCCGAGUGGUCGAAAGACGGUUUGACUUGAGGACGCGAGAGGGACACGGAAUUCCGGGUGGAGUGGUGAAAUGCGUAGAGAUCCGGAGGAACACCGAAGGCGAAGGCAGUGUCCUGGCGCGUAACUGACGCUGAGGUGCGAAAGCCAGGGGAGCGAACGGG